GACCCUUCAACCAGAGGCUCUGUGACUUGUCCCGUCUUCAGUGCGGUGUGUAAACCCUGCCGCCGGUCCAAGUUCACGAGGGGGAGAUAAGAGGAGAAGUAAUAGCUGUCGUGUUGGGGCGCUUGCCUUGGUCCUGGGCCCCAUCAGCUGCUGUGAGGAGACAGUUUCUUUUCCAUAGUUGAGGAAAUGGAGCGCAGAGAGGUUGAGUGAGUCAACCAAGGUCACCCAGCUGGAGGUGGGGCAGGGUCUGGCUCCAGGCUGUGUGCUCUCACCCAC
rnacentral:lncRNA from 10 species